CCUACGGGUGGCAGCAGUGGGGAAUAUUGGACAAUGGGGGAAACCCUGAUCCAGCGACGCCGCGUGAGUGAAGAAGUAUUUCGGUAUGUAAAGCUCUAUCAGCAGGGAAGAAAAUGACGGUACCUGACUAAGAAGCCCCGGAUAACUACGUGCCAGCAGCCGCGGUAAUACGUAGGGGGCAGGCGUUAUCCGGAUUUACUGGGUGUAAAGGGAGCGUAGACGGCGGCGCAAGUCUGAAGUGAAAGGCCCGGGCUCAACCCCGGAACUGCUCUGGAAACUGCGAAGCUGGAGUGCAGGAGAGGUAAGCGGAAUUCGUGGUGUAGCGGUGAAAUGCGUAGAUAUCAGGAGGAACACCGGUGGCGAAGGCGGCUUCCUGGACUGUAACUGACGUUGAGGCGCGAAGGCGUGGGGAGCAAACAGGAUUAGAUACCCGAGUAGUC
rnacentral:rRNA from 1 species